GACGAACGCUGGCGGCGUGCCUAAUACAUGCAAGUAGGACGCAGUUGCGAACGGAUGAGUAAAGCGUAGGUAACUACCUAUUAGAGGGGGAUAAAUAUUGGAAACGAUAGCUCAUACCGCAUACUAGUAGAUGGACCUGCGUUGUAUUAGCUAGUAGGUCGGGUAAUGGCCUACCUAGGCAACGAUACAUAGCCGAGCUGAGUGGGUGAUCGGGCACACUGGGACUGGGGCAAGGGCCAGACUCCUACGGGAGGCAGCCUGAGGGAAUCUUCGGCAAUGGGGGGAAACCUGACUGAGCAACGGCGCGUGAGUGAAGAAGGUUUUCGGAUCGUAAAGCUCUGUUGUUCAGGAAGCGGUACUUAACCAGAAAGGGACGGCUAACUACGUGCCAGCAGCCGCGGUAAUAC
rnacentral:rRNA from 1 species